UGUAGAAGGCCAGGGGGUGGCUGGGCUCCUUCCCCCCUCCAGCGGGGAGAGGGGAGCCCUGUGGCCUCCCCAACUCUGCCUAGGCCAGAGUUAGAGACAGCAUUGGAGUGAGCGUAUGUUUGUGAGGGACGCGACUCACAAACAAAUGGUAAGCAAGAGAGAGAGAGAGGCAGGCCUUGUGGCCAGGCCCUCUUCUUUUCUUUCCCCCCUUUGCAGCCAGGCUGCAGAAGGGGGCUGUUUUUCCCUCUCGCUGUUUAGUGGGAGUGGAUGCAAGGCUCAACAUUGGAGCAGAGCCAAAGUGGACGGGUUGAUAACGAAACAGCUUGGAGCCAGGGAAAGGAGUCCCAGGUGAAAUUGGAGACGGGCCACAAGAGAAGGGCUCGGGAGUUGCCGUGCCAAGGUUUGACCGGGGGCAGCUGAAAACUGACUUGAAGGAUGCGUAUGUUGAUAAGCUACUCUACAGCAGCCUACAGAACCGAGGUAUGAGACUGAGAGGGAGAGAUCACAGCAGAAAUGACAGAGGACCAAGGAGAAAGGACUCAGAGCUACCUUCUUGGACUUCGUGAGGAAGGAAGGACUUCCACAAACAGCUGAAGGUUUCCUGCACAGAUAAUGGGAAAAAGCCAUACCCAUCAAGAAAACCAGGGCAUUCAGUAAAGGAUAUGAAAACUUCAAGGAGAGAAAAAUAUAUGUUUAGAAUCCUAUUUCUGUCCUGAGUUUAAGCAUCCCCUGCAAAUUACCUACACAUCAAUUGUGUAUGAUACUUUUAAGGUUAGGUUGAACAAAAGCUGUGGAAAGAAAAGUCAGUAAGUA